GCAAUGAUGACGUUUUGUCGUUUGAUCACAAAUGAAACCACUCAACAAUUCCUCUAAGAAGUUCUGAGCUC
rnacentral:snoRNA from 1 species